UACAUUUUGAAGAUUUGGUAACAUUUAUUGCUUAACAUUUGUUAAAGUGUUAGUAAUUAUUAUAAAAUUAUAUUAUAAAGUAACAUUUUAUUAGAAAUGUUAGUAAAUAUAUAUAAUUUUUUUUAAAAUCUUAAAAAAUGUUACCUAUUCCUAUAACACUUUGGACGGAGACCUAGCCUAACGAAACAGAAGAAAGAUCGGGAACCAGUCAUAGCUCUCAAUCUCACUCCGAAUCUCGUUCUCCUUCGCACUCUCGCUCUCAACCUCACAUGUGCUCCUCCGCUCUUUGAAUCUUUCUCUUGUUUCAACAAAUUCUAGGGUUGGAUUUGUUAUUCUCUGUUUUGAGAAACAAUUGAAGGGGGGUCGAUAUUUUCCUCUCACAGCUGUUCAGAGUUUUGAUGCUGCUGGAUUCAAGAGUGUUUCUCAAAGCUUUUGCAUCGACAGCGAGGAGCUCUUCAAACGCUGGCUAACUAAUAGAGAGGCA